rnacentral:rRNA from 1 species
GUGGGGAAUAUUGCGCAAUGGGGGAAACCCUGACGCAGCAAUACCGCGUGAGUGAAGAAGGUUUUCGGAUCGUAAAACUCUUUUAUUGGGGAAGAAGAAGUGACGGUACCCAAUGAAGAAGUCCCGGCUAACUACGUGCCAGCAGCCGCGGUAAUACGUAGGGGACAAGCGUUGUCCGGAAUCACUGGGCGUAAAGGGCGCGUAGGCGGUUUUAUAAGUCAGAUGUGAAAGGUACCGUCUCAAACGGUGACGUGCAUUUGAAACUGUAAGACUUGAGUACUGGAGAGGCAAGUGGAAUUCCUAGUGUAGCGGUGAAAUGCGUAGAUAUUAGGAGGAACACCGGUGGCGAAGGCGGCUUGCUGGACAGAUACUGACGCUGAGGUGCGAAAGCGUGGGGAGCGAACAGGAUUAGAAACCCUUGUAGUCC